rnacentral:tRNA from 1 species
UCCAGAGUAGAGCGUAGUUGGUUGCGUGUUCGGCUGUUACCCGAAAGGAUAUUCCCCCGCAGGUUCGAACCCUGCCUCUGGAGCCA